rnacentral:rRNA from 1 species
GGGGAAUUUUCCGCAAUGGGCGCAAGCCUGACGGAGCAACACCGCGUGNGGGAGGAAGGCCUGUGGGUUGUNAACCUCUUNUCUCAGGGAAGAAGAAUUGANGGUACCUGAAGAAUCAACAUCCGCUAACUCCNGUGGCCAACANCCNCGGGUAAGACGGAGGAUNCNANCGUUAUCCCGAAUUAUUGGGCGUUAAGCNUNCNGUANGUGGCCCUACNAGUCUGUUGUUAAAGCCCACAGNUCAACUGUGGAUGGGCAAUGGAAACUGUGGAGCUAGAGUGUGGUAGGGGUAGAGGGAAUUCCUAGUGUAGCGGUGAAAUGCGUAGAUAUUAGGAAGAACACCAGUGGCGAAGGCGCUCUACUGGGCCAUAACUGACACUGAUGGACGAAAGCUAGGGGAGCGAAAGGGAUUANAUACCCCUGUAGUC